UUAAGUUCAGCGGGUAUCCCUACCUGAUCCGAGGUCAAGUCAUGGAGAUGGGGACUUAUGGAUGCGUGCCUUCCUUUGCCUCGAGAAGCGCGAACUGCUGCGCGAGAAGCUGGCAAGACCGCCGCCAAUAACUUUAGGGCGAGUCCACACGGAGUAGCGGGACAGACACCCAACACCAAGCAGAGCUUGAGGGUGUAAAU
rnacentral:misc_RNA from 1 species